rnacentral:rRNA from 1 species
AGCACUGCAUACCCGUCCGAUCUGCAAAGUUAACCAGAGUACCGCCCAGUUAGUACCACGGUGGGGGACCACGCGGGAAUCCUGGGUGCUGUGGUUUUGCUGCUGUGA